GCUGGGCGUGGUGGUGCAUGCCUGUAAUCCUAGCUACUCAGGAAGCUGAGGCAGGAGAAUUGCUUGAACCCAGGAGGCAGAGUUUGCUGUGAGCUGAGACUGUGCCACUGCACUUUGGCCUGGGCAAAAGACCAAGACCCUGUCUCAU
rnacentral:SRP_RNA from 1 species